rnacentral:misc_RNA from 1 species
AGAUGGAUCAUUCACAAUACUUAUGUCAGUUUUUGGUAAAAAAAAAAUUUAUUUUUUUUUGUCUUGAUGAGCGAAAAUAAUGACUUUGGUUAAACUUGAAACUCGAAUAUAAUGAAGUUGGUUUAUCGAAACGAAUGAUAUUUAGAGCGAAUUUAACUUAUACCUUUCAGCGAUGGAUGUCUCGGAUCUUGUAACGAUGAAGAACGCAGCUAGCUGUGACAUGCAGUGUGACAUGCGAACUUCUGUGAAUCAUUAGAUUUUUGAACGCAAACGGUACUUCUAAAUUUAUUUAGGAGUAUGUUCAAUUCAGUGCUUUAAUAUAUUUAUUGAUCCAAUUGGGGGUCAAUGUGAAUAGUUGCUGUUAUGACGGCUGCUGUAAUCUGAUGGUUGUAGGUUUUAGGUGACAAUUUAAAAACUAUAACCGUGGUAUUUUAAUCAUAAGCCUGAAUUUGGAUGAGUCUACCCGCUGAACUUAAGCAUAUUAUUAAGCGGAGGAAAAGAAACUAACUAGGAUUUCCUUAGUAACUGCGAGUGAAAAGGAAAUAGCUCAAACUGGAAAUCGAUAGUUUACUAUCGAAUUGUAGUCUCAUGAAGUGCAGCCUGUGAAUGUUCUGAAUUAAGUCUCUUGGAAAAGAGUACCGAAGAGGGUGAAAGUCCCGUCUUUAUUCAGCAGUAUUUACUUUCGGUGCAUUUUCAAAGAGUCGUGCUCCUUGAGAUUGGAGCGCUAAGUGGGUGAUAAAUUUCAUCUAAAGCUAAAUAUUAACGAGAUUCCGAUAGCAUACAAGUACCGUGAGGGAACGAUGAAAAGAACUUUGAAAAGAGAGUUAAAAGGUACUGAAAUUGCUGAAAAGGAAGUGGAGAGUUUCAAUGGUUUAGUGAAAUUUCUCAUGUGCUCUGGGUACUCUUACUCAUGCGCAUGUGAAGGAAUUUUGCAAUGACUCUGGAAGUGAUUAUUCUAAGUGUUCAGGCAUUAAAUGAUAUGGUUCUAUUUUAGGACCAUGUCACUUAGUGUUUUAAUACGCCGAAUGAUUUAUGUAAUUCUAGUUUAAUUGUUUAUGAUUGAACUAUACUUUUCCAGAUAUAUUGAUUCUCUCCUUCCCGUCUUGAAACACGGACCAAGGAGUCUAUUUCGCGUGCGAGUACAAGGGUUGAAAACCUACGUGCGAAAUUAAAGUAAUAGUCAAGAUGGUUUUACCUGCAUUGACACUCGGUUAUCAGACCGAAGUUGAGCACACGGAAUAGGACCCGAAAGAUGGUGAACUAUGCCUGAGUAGGGUGAAGCUAGAGGAAACUCUGGUGGAAGCUCGUAGCGAUACUGACGUGCAAAUCGUUCGUCAAACUUUGGUAUAGGGGCGAAAGACCAAUCGAACCAUCUAGUAGCUGGUUCCCUC